rnacentral:rRNA from 1 species
UACAGAGGGCGCUAGCGUUGUUCGGAUUUACUGGGCGUAAAGGGCGCGUAGGCGGCGCCGUAAGUCGGGGGUGAAAUUUCGGAGCUUAACUCCGAAACUGCAUUCGAUACUGCGGUGCUUGAGGACUGGAGAGGAGACUGGAAUUCAUGGUGUAGCAGUGAAAUGCGUAGAGAUCAUGAGGAAGACCAGUGGCGAAGGCGGGUCUCUGGACAGUUCCUGACACUGAGGCACGAAGGCCAGGGGAGCAAACGGG